UUCAAAAUAUUUCAAAAUGUUUAUUAGAUCAAAAAAAUGAAGUUAAACGUAAAUAUAACUGAGAAAUUUAACCUAGGAGGGAAAGAAAGGGAUAAAGUUAAAACAACAUAACAAAACACAGAUAAGGGGGCAAGAAAGUUAAUUUUAUUUCUAUAAUAAAAUUUAAAACAAGGCCUUCUACAAAAGUUAAAAAGUACAAUAACCCCAACUUAAACUAAAUCAAAGAAACCCAAACUAAGUUAACUUAAAAUAAGCUGAGGCCACCAGAAGGGAGGCAGACUACAGAGGGAAAGUGCAGGGGGGUGCUCCCUUAUACUCACCAAGUGAAGCACAGCACACACACUGCAAACCUUCAACAAAAGAAACAAAAUCGGUGUAGUCUUGUGACCCGGUGUCAAACUCAUGCAAAGGUGGAGGGCCCUCACCCGGGGUGCCUAGCCUCCCAAACUAGUGGGCUCAACCUCUGAAAUAAAAUAAAAGGAUUAACCAAAGAAACAAACAAACAAACCAGCGAACCCAGUUGGUAAAACUAGAGGGAACUAAGGAGAAAAGCAACUAAGGGUAACUAAGAACAGAAUGCAAACUAAUGGGGGAGUAACUGUGUAAAACAACCAAACUUAGAAGUAGAAACAAACCAAGUAAGGGGGGAAACCAAUCAAAAGGGCAGAAACAAUCAAAGUAAACAGGCAAAAAUAACUACAAUUAAUGGGGGCAACAAAACAGCAGCAGGUCUACCACCUACAAACAAAAAGGACAUGCUGUUAAAAGCAAUCAUAAAACUCUAAAGAUUAAAAAGUUACCAGCCACCCUACUCACCAGCACUCUGAGCAGAUCAGAAGGCCGACUGCAGGUGAGCUGCUGCCUUUUGUUCAGCUGACCUGAUUAGGGGAAGGGAGGGGUUAGAGGAGGGGGGAGAGCUGCAUUCAAUAGCAGCAAGGUGCUGCCUGCCACACAAGCAUUGAUGGUUCAGCAUAUAAGCUACUGUUGUUAGUUCUUGUAGCAUAAAGCCAGCCGUCUCAAGGUUAAAAAAAAGAAAAAGCGUCUCUCUUAUCAAACUAGAGAUGGCUUAAAGGGUUCUCAUGAAGGAAAACUGUCACCACACAUGCCACAGACUGUGUUUAGGUGUGUGGCACACCUAAAAUCCGCAUCUGCUCUAAAAUCACAAGUUACUAGAACUUGCUAAAUUGACUGCUUGAGGCUGUGCUAGUCACUUCUGUGUGACUAAAAUAAGGUCAACUACAAAUUGUUCCCAAUACAGGGAAACAUAUCACCCAAUUCUGCAUUUCGACUGUUUCAGAUUGAAGAAAUUUCAUGUUUGACACUUAGCAGCUUGACCAAGAAACAUUCAAAGAGCGCUCUGAUUUGUAUGCUAGCUGCACCACCAGGGAAAAGUAAGCAACACUCAAAGGAACUAAGUGAGGAAAGUCUGUCGUAGGUUAGCAAGAUUAUCAUGUUUCUCUCUGGGGUCUGAAAUGAAGUGAAGCUAAAACUAUGGCAAACAUCACUCUUUUAAUGUGUUACUCAAAGCACAUGCUAAUGCAGCUCAGCGUUUCCUGAAACAUCCCAGUCUUGAAUCUAGCGCUAGCCUUUUGUUGGCUAAUUGUGCCAAAAAAAAUGUGAAAGUGUUUCUCAAAGUGUCAAACACACAGAACUAUCCUUUCACUUUACAUAUCAACUUGACAGUUUACAGAUUUCACGUUUGAUUUCCAGUAACUCAACAAGUAUAGCAGUGAUAGCAUAUCCUGUAUCUUAGCUACACUAGAGCUAGCAAGAUAUGGAAGAAGUCACUACUUGUAGGCUAGAAAGACUUAGCUGUUUUUCUCCAGGAUCUGCAACAACACAGAGCUAAAACCACAACAAAAAAUUUGCUCUUUAGCAUCUUUUAGCAAGAAAAGAAAACGACUCAUGAAUACUAAUGCAGCUACAUGUUAGCUACAUGUUUACCUGUUGCUAGCAUGCAUGUUAGCUCCAGAACAAAAUGUUUUAGCCUGAUGUUGCACCAUUGCCGAGUCUGUUUUUAACUGAUUUACCAAGAUAGGCCUACCAUGCCUCUAGAAUUUUUACUAUUCAGAAAAACAUAACUAGCCAAAAGCAGCGCAGUCUACUAUCUUAUCAGGGUUCCUAUUAAGUUGGGUCUGCUCAAUCAAACUUUUGAUUACUUACAGCGACUUUUUCAACUUUUAUUAAUCUCAUCAGUAGAAUAAUUUCAAUAGAAGCAUAACUCAUCCCCCCUCAAUGAGU